rnacentral:rRNA from 1 species
UACGAAGGGGGCUAGCGUUGCUCGGAAUCACUGGGCGUAAAGGGUGCGUAGGCGGGUCUUUAAGUCAGGGGUGAAAUCCUGGAGCUCAACUCCAGAACUGCCUUUGAUACUGAGGAUCUUGAGUUCGGGAGAGGUGAGUGGAACUCCGAGUGUAGAGGUGAAAUUCGUAGAUAUUCGGAAGAACACCAGUGGCGAAGGCGGCUCACUGGUCCGGUACUGACGCUGAGGUGCGAAAGCGUGGGGAGCAAACAGG